rnacentral:rRNA from 1 species
UACGUAGGGGGCAAGCGUUGUUCGGAAUUACUGGGCGUAAAGCGCGUGUAGGCGGGUCUUUAAGUCAGGGGUGAAAUGCCAGGGCUCAACCUUGGAACUGCCUUUGAUACUGGAGACCUUGAGUCCGGGAGAGGUGAGUGGAAUUGCGAGUGUAGAGGUGAAAUUCGUAGAUAUUCGCAAGAACACCAGUGGCGAAGGCGGCUCACUGGCCCGGAACUGACGCUGAGACGCGAAAGCGUGGGGAGCAAACAGG